CGCUCAGAGCCCCUUAUGAGGGUGAUGAGGUGCUUUUUGUAGAACGAGCCAACGAGUUACGGUAUGUAGCAAGGUUAAGUACUUAAGGUACGGAGCCGAAGGGAAACCGAGUCUGAAUAGGGCGACUAGUUGCAUGCCGUAGACCCGAAACCGGGUGACCUAUCCAUGGCCAGGUUGAAGCGAGGGUAAAACCUCGUGGAGGACCGAACCACGUUGCUGUUGAAAAAGCAUGGGAUGAGCUGUGGAUAGCGGAGAAAUUCCAAUCGAACCCGGAGAUAGCUGGUUCUCUCCGAAAUAGCUUUAGGGCUAGCGUCGAGUAUGAGUAGUGGAGGUAGAGCACUGAAUGGGCUAGGGGGCAUAGCGCUUACCGAACCUUAUCAAACUCCGAAUGCCACAUACUUUGAGCUCGGCAGUCAGACUACGAAUGAUAAGAUCCGUGGUCAAAAGGGAAACAGCCCAGAUCGUCAGCUAAGGUCCCAAAGUGUAAGUUAAGUGGGAAAGGAUGUGAGAUUUCUAAGACAACUAGGAUGUUGGCUUAGAAGCAGCCAUUCAUUAAAAGAGUGCGUAAUAGCUCACUAGUCGAGAGAUCUUGCGCCGAAAAUGUAACGGGGCUAAACUUACC
rnacentral:rRNA from 1 species